rnacentral:rRNA from 1 species
CCGCGAAUUCGCCCUUCAGCAGGCGCGAAAACUUUGCAAUACACGAAAGUGUGACAGGGCUAUCCCGAGUGCCAUCCGCUGAGGAAGGCUUUUACCCAGUCUAGAACGCUGGGGGAAUAAGGAGAGGGCAAGUCUGGUGUCAGCCGCCGCGGUAAUACCAGCUCUCCGAGUGGUGUGGAUGUUUAUUGGGCCUAAAGCAUCCGUAGCUGGCUAAGUUAGUCCCUUGUUAAAUCCACCGAAUUAAUCGUUGGAUUGCGGGGGAUACUGCUUGGCUAGGGGGCGAGAGAGGCAGACGGUAUUUCCGGGGUAGGGGUGAAAUCCUAUAAUCCCGGGAAGACCACCAGUGGCGAAGGCUGUCUGCUAGAACGCGCCCGACGGUGAGGGAUGAAAGCUGGGGGAGCGAACCGGAUUAGAUACCCGGGUAGUCCCAGCUGUAAACGAUGCAGGCUAGGUGUUUGGACGGCCACGUGCCGUUCUAGUGCCGCAGGGAAGCUGUUAAGCCUGCCGCCUGGGGAGUACGAUCGCAAGAUUGAAACUUAAAGGAAUUGGCGGGGGAGCAC